GAUAUCUCUGGAAUAGACUGCGCUACCCUGCGCCGCCGCCGUCAAACUCCCGCAGACUUCUCUGUAGAUCGCUGAGCGAUACUUUCGGCAGCACCUCCUUGAUUCUCAGUUUUGCUGGAGGCCGCAACCAGGCCCGCGCCGCCACCAUGCGUCGCCCGGUGCCACGAGGUAUGAGAGCCUCGGCAGACGGCCGGGCUCCGGCAGUGAUUCAGCAUCUCCGGCCUGGCCGGGCUAGGGGUUAUCGGUAGCCAGUGCGGCCUUUCCACCGCUUUCGCUUCCCGGGGAGCCUCCGACACUUCCUCCUCGGUCAGCUAGAUGAGUUCGCCCCUCAGGUUCCUUCAGUGGAGUAGAUUCUGAGCGGUCCAGAAUAGCUCCUAGUGCUGUGUAUGGGAGAGGAGAAGACAGAGACUUGACUUGGAGGCCUACCUGUACCACCAGUGCGGACUUGACCCCCAGUUUCGAAAUCAGUAUGACAAUGAUGUCACUGUUUGGAGCCCCCAGGGCAGGAUUCAUCAAAUUGAAUAUGCAAUGGAAGCUGUUAAACAAGGUUCAGCCACAGUUGGUCUGAAAU
rnacentral:lncRNA from 1 species